rnacentral:rRNA from 1 species
CGGGGGGAGCAAGCGUUGUUCGGAUUUACUGGGCGUAAAGGGCGCGUAGGCGGCCACCGCAAGUCGACUGUGAAAUCUCCGGGCUUAACCCGGAAAGGUCAGCCGAUACUGCGGGGCUAGAGUGCAGAAGGGGCAACUGGAAUUCUCGGUGUAGCGGUGAAAUGCGUAGAUAUCGAGAGGAACACCUGCGGCGAAGGCGGGUUGCUGGGCUAACACUGACGCUGAGGCGCGAAAGCUAGGGGAGCGAACGGGAUUAGAUACCCCGGUAGUCCUAGCCUUAAACGAUAAAUGCUUGGUGUCUGGGGGUUUUAUAGUCCCCGGGUGCCGUCGCUAACGCUUUAAGCAUUCCGCCUGGGGAGUACGGUCGCAAGACUG